rnacentral:Y_RNA from 1 species
GGCUGGUCCAAUGGUAGUGGGUUAUCAGAAUUUAUUAACAUCAAUGUCACUAAAGUUGGUAUACAACUCCCCACUGCUAAAUUUGACUGGCUUUAA